rnacentral:rRNA from 1 species
ACUCCUACGGGAGGCAGCAGUGAGGAAUAUUGCGCAAUGGGCGAAAGCCUGACGCAGCGAGCCGCGUGGAGGAUGACGGUCUUCGGAUUGUAAACUCCUGUUAAGUAAGAAGAAAGAGCUAUCUGUAAUAUAGGUAGAAGAUGACGUUAUUACUAAAGAAAGCACCGGCUAACUUCGUGCCAGCAGCCGCGGUAAUACGAGGGGUGCAAGCGUUAUUCGGAAUGACUGGGCGUAAAGGGUGCGUAGACGGUAUGUUAAGUCUUUUGUUAAAGACCUCAGCCUAACUGAGGAUCAGCGAAGGAAACUGGCGUACUUGAGGUUGGAAGAGAGGAGUGGAAUUCUCGGAGUAGCGGUAAAAUGCGUAGAUCUCGAGAGGAACACCGAUGGCGAAGGCAGCUCCUUGGUCCAAUCCUGACGUUGAUGCACGAAAGCGUGGGUAGCAAACAGGAUUAGAUACCCUGGUAGGAUAGCGU